UACAGAGGUCCCAAGCGUUGUUCGGAUUCACUGGGCGUAAAGGGUGCGUAGGUGGUCGGGUAAGUCCGAUGUGAAAUCUCCAGGCUCAACCUGGAAAUGGCAUUGGAUACUAUCCGGCUUGAGGAGUGGAGGGGGGACUGGAAUUCUCGGUGUAGCAGUGAAAUGCGUAGAUAUGCGGAGGAACACCGAUGGCGAAGGCAAUCCCCUGGGCCUGCACUGACGCUCAUGCACGAAAGCGUGGGGAGCAAACAGG
rnacentral:rRNA from 1 species